rnacentral:other from 1 species
CGUCCCCUGCGGUGCGCGUGAUGUGCCAGAUAUCCCGUGGACCUAUAAGUCAUGAUCUCGGGGGUCGGUGCGGAUACCGGUGUGCAAGCCCGUCUCGAGCGGGAAGCCUGAAGGGUCCCUAAGACCUGCCAAACUUGAGCCUUCGGUUCAAGGAUGACGGUGCACACGGCACUCGCGGAGGACGU